rnacentral:rRNA from 1 species
CGAAUGCUGACAUAAGUAACGAUAAAGCGGGUGAAAAGCCCGCUCGCCGGAAGACCAAGGGUUCCUGUCCAACGUUAAUCGGGGCAGGGUGAGUCGACCCCUAAGGCGAGGCCGAAAGGCGUAGUCGAUGGGAAACAGGUUAAUAUUCCUGUACUUGGUGUUACUGCGAAGGGGGGACGGAGAAGGCUAUGUUGGCCGGGCGACGGUUGUCCCGGUUUAAGCGUGUAGGCUGGUUUUCCAGGCAAAUCCGGAAAAUCAAGGCUGAGGCGUGAUGACGAGGCACUACGGUGCUGAAGCAACAAAUGCCCUGCUUCCAGGAAAAGCCUCUAAGCAUCAGGUAACAUCAAAUCGUACCCCAAACCGACACAGGUGGUCAGGUAGAGAAUACCAAGGCGCUUGAGAGAACUCGGGUGAAGGAACUAGGCAAAAUGGUGCCGUAACUUCGGGAGAAGGCACGCUGAUAUGUAGGUGAAGUCCCUCGCGGAUGGAGCUGAAAUCAGUCGAAGAUACCAGCUGGCUGCAACUGUUUAUUAAAAACACAGCACUGUGCAAACACGAAAGUGGACGUAUACGGUGUGACGCCUGCCCGGUGCCGGAAGGUUAAUUGAUGGGGUUAGCGCAAGCGAAGCUCUUGAUCGAAGCCCCGGUAAACGGCGGCCGUAACUAUAACGGUCCUAAGGUAGCGAAAUUCCUUGUCGGGUAAGUUCCGACCUGCACGAAUGGCGUAAUGAUGGCCAGGCUGUCUCCACCCGAGACUCAGUGAAAUUGAACUCGCUGUGAAGAUGCAGUGUACCCGCGGCAAGACGGAAAGACCCCGUGAACCUUUACUAUAGCUUGACACUGAACAUUGAGCCUUGAUGUGUAGGAUAGGUGGGAGGCUUUGAAGUGUGGACGCCAGUCUGCAUGGAGCCGACCUUGAAAUACCACCCUUUAAUGUUUGAUGUUCUAACGUUGACCCGUAAUCCGGGUUGCGGACAGUGUCUGGUGGGUAGUUUGACUGGGGCGGUCUCCUCCUAAAGAGUAACGGAGGAGCACGAAGGUUGGCUAAUCCUGGUCGGACAUCAGGAGGUUAGUGCAAUGGCAUAAGCCAGCUUGACUGCGAGCGUGACGGCGCGAGCAGGUGCGAAAGCAGGUCAUAGUGAUCCGGUGGUUCUGAAUGGAAGGGCCAUCGCUCAACGGAUAAAAGGUACUCCGGGGAUAACAGGCUGAUACCGCCCAAGAGUUCAUAUCGACGGCGGUGUUUGGCACCUCGAUGUCGGCUCAUCACAUCCUGGGGCUGAAGUAGGUCCCAAGGGUAUGGCUGUUCGCCAUUUAAAGUGGUACGCGAGCUGGGUUUAGAACGUCGUGAGACAGUUCGGUCCCUAUCUGCCGUGGGCGCUGGAGAACUGAGGGGGGCUGCUCCUAGUACGAGAGGACCGGAGUGGACGCA